GGCGAACCGUGCGAACGUUAUUCGGAAUCACUGGGCUUAAAGCGCGUGUAGGCGGGACGGCACGUCGGUCGCUGAAAGCCCCCGGCUCAACCGGGGAACGGGCGCCGAUACGACCGUCCUGGAGGGACGUAGGGGGACCUGGAACUUCCGGUGGAGCGGUGAAAUGCGUUGAGAUCGGAAGGAACGCCCGUGGCGAAAGCGAGGUCCUGGACGUUUUCUGACGCUGAGACGCGAAAGCCAGGGGAGCGAACGGG
rnacentral:rRNA from 1 species